GAUGAACGCUGGCGGCGUGCCUAAUACAUGCAAGUCGAGCGAACAGACGAGGAGCUUGCUUCUCUGACGUUAGCGGCGGACGGGUGAGUAACACGUGGAUAACCUACCUAUAAGACUGGGAUAACUUCGGGAAACCGGAGCUAAUACCGGAUAAUAUAUUGAACCGCAUGGUUCAAUAGUGAAAGACGGUUUUGCUGUCACUUAUAGAUGGAUCCGCGCCGCAUUAGCUAGUUGGUAAGGUAACGGCUUACCAAGGCAACGAUGCGUAGCCGACCUGAGAGGGUGAUCGGCCACACUGGAACUGAGACACGGUCCAGACUCCUACGGGAGGCAGCAGUAGGGAAUCUUCCGCAAUGGGCGAAAGCUUGACGGAGCAACGCCGCGUGAGUGAUGAAGGUCUUCGGAUCGUAAAACUCUGUUAUUAGGGAAGAACAAAUGUGUAAGUAACUAUGCACGUCUUGACGGUACCUAAUCAGAAAGCCACGGCUAACUACGUG
rnacentral:rRNA from 1 species